AAAAGCUGACCCUGAACCAAAAAACCCGAUGCCCGAAAAACCCGAAGGUAUCUCGGGUACCAAGUCCAGAAACCUGAAAUUAUUACGGGUAAUUCGAGUUUGCAACCCCGAUGCUCGAAAUCCCCUAACAAUCCGAAGUAUCUAGCAUGAAGCCCAACGCCCAGCAGCUAACAUUUUAGCCCAGCCCACGUAGCUACGUUGGAAAACCCUCACCAACCUUAUCUGCAACUUGCUUGUCCUCCUCCUCUCAUCCCUCCCGCAUCUGCUGGCUGCUGCAGGCCGCUCGCCGCAUCUCGCACGCCUCCCAACCCCCACCACCAUCCUCGUUGCCGGCCGCAGGUCCGCAGCUCCUCUCGAUCUCCUAGAGUCCUAGUCUCAUGUCCGCAUCUCAGCAUCUUGCUCUACUACCGUGCCACCUAUCGCGACUCACCCGUGGUUGCCGGUGCCUCCGCCUAUUUCCAAUCCUGCUCGUGUGGCCGCGCUGAGCCGUCGAGCUGCAGGCCUACAGCAACCGCAGCUCCAUCUUCUCUGUCUGGAAACUACGUUCAAGUCGUGUGUGACAGACUGACAGGGGCAGCAGCUCGCAAGGGGCAACAUGCUUCUCCAGUCGGUGGUCAAGUCUGUGAUCUGUUUUUACGAAAAAAAAACUCUCAUAUGUGAACAGAUGUUCCCUUUUGGUGUCGUUCUUCUCUUCUGCUUGAAACUCUUAUUCUUCUGCAUUUGUUUGAUCUCUGAAACUCGAUGUGUUUUACCGGUGUAGGUACUUGUACGGGUAUUUCGGGGUUACCCGAACCCGAAUUCUCGGGUACCCGAAAUGCCGGAUUUUAUUUCGGGUGAAUCUCGGGUUUCAUUUCUGGGAACCCGAAUUUUUAAAAACUCGAAUAACCCAACUUAAAAUUUUCGGGUUACCUGAAUGCCCACCCCUAUAGCCACACGCACACAACCCUAGACACACACACCUCGCCUCAAACUCUACGGGCUGUGGAGGAUUGAUCUUUGGGGUUCUAGGAUCAAUUUUUUUUUUCAGUAUAUGCCUCAGACUCUACUGCAAUAUCAUCCAUUUCAGAUUCAUCACUUUUCUUUUAUGCCAACAGGUAAAAUACUUUAGAGACGACCAAUUCAACAUCAACUUCGUCUUCAUAUGCAUCACCUAAUUAUGUAUAUAUAUGUGUUGCUGCCGCCUCUUAUGGAACAUCUAUAAAGAAACAAGAUCUCCUUCCAGCCUUCCUUGACACCAUUAUCAUCACGUAUGGGUUUGUGUUUUCC
rnacentral:lncRNA from 1 species